UCUACGCUUCCAGAAUAACUUGAUAUAAUGACCAAGAAUACAAAAUAGUAAUAGGCGCAACAAGAACUUUGACCAAUAGUUAAAUCAACAAACCAAUUAAGAAUAUAGACAUCUUAACUCAUUUGCUCAACUUGAGAUGCAGAUUGAGUAUUAUAUAAUGAAAUAUGUUUGAUGACAUUCGAGAAACAAAAUCAAUUACGAGAUAUCAACGAAACAAAAUUUUGAACAAUCGAUAACAAAUUAGCAAACAACCAACCUAGUGAUGAUUUUCGACAUCAACAGGAAAAUCAGAAAAUAAUGACAAAGAGAAUAGUUAACGGAGAGAGUAUUACCUUUCCUUGAGCAGCGAAAGUGGG
rnacentral:misc_RNA from 1 species